rnacentral:rRNA from 1 species
CACGUAGGGGGCAAGCGUUGUCCGGAUUUAUUGGGCGUAAAGAGCUCGUAGGCGGUUCGGUAAGUCGGGUGUGAAACCUCCAGGCUCAACCUGGAGACGCCACCUGAUACUGCUGUGACUAGAGUCCGGUAGGGGAGCGUGGAAUUCCUAGUGUAGCGGUGAAAUGCGCAGAUAUUAGGAGGAACACCAGCGGCGAAGGCGGCGCUCUGGGCCGGAACUGACGCUGAGGAGCGAAAGCGUGGGGAGCAAACAGG